AAAAUAUCUUUUAUAACAGGUGCUGAAAUUGUUGAAAUAUCAGCUUAAAAGGGAAGUUGGUUAAAUUCCGACGCGGUCCCGCCACUGUAAAUGCGAGCAACCUAUACUUUGCCACUGCCAGCAAUUGGCGGGAAGGCAUAGGAAGCGAUGACCAUGAGCCAGGAGACCUGCCUGUUUAUUGCACUGAAG
rnacentral:ncRNA from 2 species